rnacentral:lncRNA from 1 species
CGCCUCCGCGCAGGGGCCGCGCUGCCAGGGCCGGGGGAGCUCUGCUUGCCAGGCUGAACGCCAAGAGGGUACUCGUCGGGUGGCAGAGCUCACCUCCAGCCACAGAGUUCAGGCAACCUCCCGUCAUUUUGCAAUAACCUUUACAUGUUGCGGAGGGGGGGAAAAGUGGCAUAAAAGAGUCAAGCGUGUCAAAGUUCAGGAAAUCGUGCAAGAACUUUCCUAAGAUUCUCGAAGAAAGUACCGCUUCUCCUGAAGAACUAUUUUAUUUCUCAGAGCAGGGAAGGAGAGAUUUCUAGGAAAUGCAUAUUUUGAACCUAUGAUGGUUCUUUGGGUUAAAUGGGAACCAGGCUCUGAAUAGUUUAAUACUGACUUAUCAAUGAAAGAUGAUUUUUUUUUUUUUUCCAGAGAGAACAACCCGAUGUCUCAGAAAUCUUACGUCGUUCUUAGCCACUGUAUACAAAUUUUGGAGAGUUUCCUGGCAAAUUACAGCAGCAUCCUACAGCAAGCUGACAAAGAGAUUCCAGGAAUGCCACGCAUCUAGGAGGGAAACACGAAUCCGUCUCUUUAGCCUGAAGCACGAAAUUGGCUUAAAGCUCAUUUUGCAGAUAACCAGAAACGAAAUCACCAGUGCGUGGACCAGGAUUUUGGCAAGCCUUGGGCCUUAUUGGCAACUCCUUCCCUUCUCCCCCAUCUGAACCUCCUCUGUCGCUUUUCUUCUCACUGCCUGGGAGAUGACAGUUUAUAUAUUUGUACACAGGAGUGAAUGUGCUAAUAUGCUCCAAAUAUGGACUGUGCAAUCAAAUUAUCAUGAGUUUGGUGGAAUGCUUUUCUGGAUUAUUUCCUCCAAAAAUAUAAAAUUCCAAUUGCAAACAAUUGACAGCCAACAAAAUAUUGUUUGAAUCAAACAUAUGUGGGGAAGUUGAGGGCACUUCGUAAUUCAAGAUAGAAAAUCUUUGUUUCUGUUUUUUUGGUGGUUUUUUUUUGUUUGUUUUGUUUUGUUGUUGUUUUUUUUUUUUAAUUUUUUUUUCUCCCUUUCAUUGUGAGUUGUUGCCUUUGGGUGGAUUUUUGCUUUGAGAGUGCAAGUUGCUCUUAUUGGCAUUGCUGGGACUUAUAUGCGAAUAAAGAGUAGAAAAUGAAUAGCUUUCAGAGGCUUCAGGUUGAUGGAACAAUUUCAUCUCUUCUGUUAAUGCUUUACAACACUCCAUGAGUUUUUAUCUCAUAUCAGAAGUUUUACAGCUGUAGGGACCAAUUUGAAGCUCCCCUUCUGAGUUCUUUUCCUUUGCAGGAACAUUGCCAAAUUAGUGAAAAUAAAUGGCAUAGAAUCACAUCCAAAACCAUCUAAGAAAAACUAAUAAUUUUUUCAUUGGCAUUUUAUUUUUUAUUUGUAGCUUUCUCAAAUACACACAUAUAUUUUCAUAUUUAAUAAAUG